rnacentral:misc_RNA from 1 species
AACGCACCUUGCGCUCCUUGGUAUUCCGAGGAGCAUGCCUGUUUGAGUGUCAUUAACAUAUCAACCCUUCCAGCUUCUUUGGAGGCUGGUUUGUGGCUUGGAUGCUGGGGGUAUCUUUGCUGGCCUCUCAAGGUCGGCUCCCCUGAAAUGCAUUAGCGGAACCGUUUGCGGGUCUGUCACUGGUGUGAUAAUUAUCUGCGCCAAAGAUGGACGUGCUCUCUGUCUGUUCAGCUUACAAUAGUCCUGUUUACUUGGACAACUUAAUUAAUGCUUGGCCUCAAAUCAGGUAGGACUACCCGCUGAACUUAA